rnacentral:rRNA from 1 species
GAUGAACGCUGGCGGCGUGCCUAAUACAUGCAAGUCGAGCGAACAGACGAGGAGCUUGCUCCUCUGACGUUAGCGGCGGACGGGUGAGUAACACGUGGAUAACCUACCUAUAAGACUGGGAUAACUUCGGGAAACCGGAGCUAAUACCGGAUAAUAUAUUGAACCGCAUGGUUCAAUAGUGAAAGACGGUUUUGCUGUCACUUAUAGACGGAUCCGCGCCUCAUUAGCUAGUUGGUAAGGUAACGGCUUACCAAGGCAGCGAUGCGUAGCCGACCUGAGAGGGUCAACGGCCACACGGGAACUGAGACACGGUCCAGACUCCUACGGGAGGCAGCAGUAGGGAAUCUUCCGCAAUGGGCGAAAGCGUGACGGAGCAACGCCGCGUAAAUGAUGAAGGUCUUCGGAUCGGAAAGCUCUGUUAUUAGGGAGGAACAAAUGUGUAAGUAACUAUGCACGUCUUGACGGUACCUAAUCAGAAAGCCACGGCUAACUACGUG